AAUUCUUCAAACUGUAGAAAAAGUCCAUCAAACUUGAAAAAAGGUUCACAGAAUUUGAUGAAAUGUUCAUCAACUUUGAAAAACGUUCAUCAAAUUUUAAACAAAGUUCACCAAAUUUUGAAAAUAUUUCAUAUAAUUGGAAGAAAAGUUCAUAAAUUUUGAAGAAAAAUUUCACGAAUUUUAAAACAGUUCAUCGAACUAGGUAGAGGUAAAAGGAAAAAGGAAAAUGUGAAAAGUGAAAAGAAGAAAGGGAAAAGAUAAAAGAAGAAGAAAAGGAGCAAAAGAUGGAACGAGAAGGUCGGCUGUUCGAGUCGCCAACGUGUGCCCCGCGUUUUUCUUGUUCUGAAUCUAUAUCUAUGCUAUUAUUAAAAGAGCGAACUUAAUUUAUUCUAAACCCACACUACAAAGUAUGCACAGGAUAAGUAGAACCCUUAGAUUAAAUUAACUUAAACACAUCCGCCGUCUACAUCACGUUAAUGGUCUGCCAACCAGAUCAACGACUGAGAUGAAAUGUUCUGCCAAUCCUAUUAGGGCUCCGCGGCCCCGCCCGCCCGCAGCAAGCGGAUCGAUUCCACCUGCCUCCCCCUCCCUCUUCUCUCCUCGCUGCCGCUACAGGACGCCGCAGGGCUCGCUCUCAUCCCUCCAGCAGCGUCGGCACCGCGGGACGCAACGGGCUUGACUUGCAUCGGCGGCGCCGGUGUCCCUCUCCUCCAUCGAGCGGCGGCGCGGGACGUAGCGGGCUAAAUCUGCGUUGGCGGCAGCGGCGGCGGCGACGGGUUCCGCUCCUCCUCACGCCGCCCCUCUCCUUUUCCUUGCUUUCUUGGCCCCGCGGAGAGGGAGACGCCCUUGGUUCAUGGCCUCUUCUCUAGGGCCAGGUGGUGGCUAGAGGAAAGGGGAGGCGGAAGAAAUCCGCCCGCACACUCUCGCCGUCUCGCUCUACCUGAUGGUGUUGUAUGGUCUGUCGGACAAGGGAACCCGGUUGCUGGCUGAUGUCAAACGCCUUCUCCCUGAGAUCAUGAUCCCCAGACUAAAUCAACACCACUUGGUGGGAUCUGACUCUGGUGGGAUGGAACAUGGAAAGCUAUUGGCCGCUUGCAGUCUCACAAUCUGUCAGACGCACAAGUGGAGUUUUGUUUGGCAAUGCUUUUCUAUUGAGCAUAUUAAGAUUGCCAUUUGUCUAUAUUUUUUAUUAAGAAAUGACGAAUCAUUUAGUACGAAUUUGUAACUGGUUCAAGUACAUGACUGUCAAUAUACGGUGUGUUCGACAACACAUCUUCUGUCAAGUUGCUGGGAAUGUUGCCUGUGCCCCGUGGCACUGUCACAAUAUUGGAUUCAUGCAUUUGAUGCCCUCUUGGAUCCAGGUUUGAAUAAAACCAAAUGUGUUCCUUUAAAUUGCGUAGUUGCCUGGUUGCUUUUUGCAAAUGAAAAAUGUGUUCCUUUCAUUUUGUGUAUGUACUUGUUUUUCUGUAACCUAUCAUCAUUUUCUUCUCUUUUUUUGCGCUGAAAUAAAAUGCAUUCUUUCAUACCAAAAAAUUUCAAGAGCACACGAACUGCACACAUGUCCUUCCUUUUUUAAUCUGCAGCCGCUUGCUUUGAUUAUUAUUUUUGGAAGGGUGUAUGCGAGUAUACGUCACAAAGGUAACACCGAUCUGGUUCACACUUGUUAUUUUUUUCUUCUUGGUAAUUUUUAGUUCUUUUAAUCUUCUAUUUUUUUGUACCACUAUUCUGGAUUGCAACCUUUUCUUUAACAGGGAGAGGUGCCAAAUUUUCAGUCAAUUAUAGCGUGAAUUGCAUAGCCUGCAACAUUUGCCUAUAGCCAUAGAAUCUAUGAUCCCACAAGGGCUAUCUCUAUGAGCUAAACAAUUACAGUACAAGACACACUCGAAUUCAGACUUUAGAGCCUCAUGAGCAAUGUUUUGAGAGCUUGUUGAUGAUCUGCUUGGUUCUCGCAAAAUUGGGACGUGUUGGAUGGUCUAUGUGAGGCUAUCUAAAGAAAAUUCCUCUUAAUUAGGUUUUGGUUGUAUGAUGGAAUUUGAUUAGAUAAGAACCCACAUCUGGCGGCAUCGUCCGUCUCAUGGCGCCCCCCAUCUCGCUGUUGUCCCGUCUCAUGGCGUCCAAUAACCAAAGGUAUUUUUUUUCAAUUGCUAUUAUUUCUUUGCUGGUAAUAUCUAUUAUUGUAAAUGGCGUGAUCUGAUGAUGUAUCCUAGAUACAGUUCAAUUAAUUAAAUGAUGCCUGUACAA